rnacentral:rRNA from 1 species
AGCGAACGCUGGCGGCAGGCCUAACACAUGCAAGUCGAACGGAUCCUUCGUGAUUUUUUGCUGACUUGUUUUUAACACGUUGUAACGUUCCCUUUUGUUCGGUACAACUCAUUGAAACUUGAUCUAAUACCGGUUUUGCCCUUCUGGUGUAAGAUUUAUCGCCAUUGGAGCGGCCCGCGUCUGAUUAGCUUGUUGGUGAGGUAACGGCCCACCAAGGCUACGAUCAGUAGCUUGUAUGAGAGGAUGAUAAGCCACACUGGGACUGAGACACGGCCCAGACUAGUACGGGAGGGAGCAGUGGGGAAUAUAGAGAAAUGGGGGAAAGGAUGAAGAAGCAAUGACGCGGGAAUGAUGAAGGUGUUAGGAAAGAAAAAUUCUUUAAGAGGGGAAGAUAAUGACGGUAACAGAAGAAGAAGCACCGGCUAACUACGUG